rnacentral:rRNA from 1 species
AAAUUUUAAUAAAGAUUAAGUACUAAAUAGANNNCCCAACANUAGUUGACUACANUGAACAAGUUACUGUAGGGAUAACAGCGUAAUAUAUAUCUAAAGUUCUUAUUUUGAUAUAAGUUUGCGACCUCGAUGUUGAAUUNAUAUUACUUUCAAGCGCAAGAGCCUGAAAAGUGGGUCUGUUCGACCCCUAAAUAUAUACAUGAUUUGAGUUCAAAUCGGUGUAAACCAGAUUGGUUUCUAUCUAUUNUUAUUUGUGUCUUAGUACGAAAGGACCUGAAACAAUAUUAUAUAAUNAUUUAUAUGGCAGAAAAAUGCUUUAGAUUUAGGAUCUAAUUAUAAUAGAUUAUCAUACUCUAUUUAACUUGCCUAAUCUCUGUUAUUAGAAUCCUUAUCGCAGUAGCUUUUUAUAC